rnacentral:rRNA from 15 species
CCGCGGUAAUUCCAGCUCCAAUAGCGUAUAUUUAAGUUGUUGCAGUUAAAAAGCUCGUAGUUGGACUUUGGGACGGGUCGGUCGGUCCGCCUCGCGGUGUGCACCGGUCGUCCCAUCCCUUCUGUCGGCGAUGCGUGCCUGGCCUUAACUGGCCGGGUCGUGCCUCCGGCGCUGUUACUUUGAAGAAAUUAGAGUGCUCAAAGCAAGCCCACGCUCUGGAUACAUUAGCAUGGGAUAACAUCACAGGAUUUCGGUCCUAUUGUGUUGGCCUUCGGGAUCGGAGUAAUGAUUAAGAGGGACAGUCGGGGGCAUUCGUAUUUCAUAGUCAGAGGUGAAAUUCUUGGAUUUAUGAAAGACGAACCAC